rnacentral:rRNA from 1 species
ACUCCUACGGGAGGCAGCAGUGGGGAAUAUUGCACAAUGGGCGCAAGCCUGAUGCAGCCAUGCCGCGUGUAUGAAGAAGGCCUUCGGGUUGUAAAGUACUUUCAGCAGUGAGGAAGGUGGAGUCGUUAAUAGCGGCCUCAUUUGACGUUAGCUGCAGAAGAAGCACCGGCUAACUCCGUGCCAGCAGCCGCGGUAAUACGGAGGGUGCGAGCGUUAAUCGGAAUUACUGGGCGUAAAGCGCAUGCAGGUGGUUUGUUAAGUCAGAUGUGAAAGCCCGGGGCUCAACCUCGGAAUUGCAUUUGAAACUGGCAGACUAGAGUCUUGUAGAGGGGGGUAGAAUUUCAGGUGUAGCGGUGAAAUGCGUAGAGAUCUGAAGGAAUACCAGUGGCGAAGGCGGCCCCCUGGACAAAGACUGACGCUCAGAUGCGAAAGCGUGGGGAGCAAACAGGAUUAGAUACCCUGGUA